rnacentral:rRNA from 1 species
UACGUAGGGUGCAAGCGUUGUCCGGAUUUAUUGGGCGUAAAGAGCUCGUAGGCGGUUUGUCGCGUCGGAUGUGAAAACCCAAUGGCUUAACCUUGGGCCUGCAUUCGAUACGGGCAAACUAGAGUGUGGUAGGGGAAACUGGAACUCCUGGUGUAGCGGUGGAAUGCGCAGAUAUCAGGAAGAACACCGAUGGCGAAGGCAGGUUUCUGGGCCAUAACUGACGCUGAGGAGCGAAAGCGUGGGGAGCGAACAGG